UUGACCUCGGAUCAGGUAGGAAUACCCGCUGAACUUAAGCAUAUCAAUAAGCGGAGGAAAAGAAACCAACAGGGAUUGCCCUAGUAACGGCGAGUGAAGCGGCAACAGCUCAAAUUUGAAAUCUGGCUUUCGGGCCCGAGUUGUAAUUUGUAGAGGAUACUUUUGAUGCGGUGCCUUCCGAGUUCCCUGGAACGGGACGCCAUAGAGGGUGAGAGCCCCGUCUGGUUGGAUGCCAAAUCUCUGUAAAGUUCCUUCGACGAGUCGAGUAGUUUGGGAAUGCUGCUCUAAAUGGGAGGUAUAUGUCUUCUAAAGCUAAAUAUUGGCCAGAGACCGAUAGCGCACAAGUAGAGUGAUCGAAAGAUGAAAAGCACUUUGAAAAGAGAGUUAAAAAGUACGUGAAAUUGUUGAAAGGGAAGCGUUUAUGACCAGACUUGGACUUGGUUAAUCAUCUGGGGUUCUCCCCAGUGCACUUUUCCAGUUCAGGCCAGCAUCAGUUUUCGCCGGGGGAUAAAGGCUUCGGGAAUGUAGCUCUCUUCGGGGAGUGUUAUAGCCCGUUGUGUAAUACCCUGGCGGAGAC
rnacentral:rRNA from 1 species